GGAGCAUGAGGUUUAUUUCGUUGGCUCGCGGAGACCCCUCCCCUCGUCGCCGCCUCUAUUAAUUUUCUUAGACAUAAAAAAGGGGCUUGUCCGGGACUAUGAAACAGGUUCUGCAAAAGUGUCGUCAAAGUCGUGUUGUGAAAUGUUGGGUUAAGUUCCGCAACGAGCGCAACCCUUGUUCUCUGUUGGCAUCCGUUUAUUCUGGGAUCUCAGAGGAGUCUGCCGGGUAUAAGCUGGAGGAGGGUGGGGACGACGUCAAGUCAUCAUGGUUCUUACGACCAGGGCUACACACGUGCUACAAUGGCAGAUACAAAGAGAAGCAAAUCUGCGAAGACAAGCAAAACUCAUAAAGUAUGUCUUAGUUCGGACUGGAGUCUGCAACUCUACUCCACGAAGUCGGAAUCGCUAGUUAUCGUGGAUCAGAACGCCCCGGUGAAUACGUUCCCGGUCCUUGCACUCACCGCCCGUC
rnacentral:rRNA from 1 species